rnacentral:lncRNA from 1 species
GAUUUUAUUCAUUUCAAUGCGGCUGCCAAUUUGACAUGCUGUUAAAUAAUUUUAUUUCUUUGGCGAAAUUGCCCCCAACUAUGACAGCUUGGACAAAACUGCCCUUAACGGUCUAAUCUCCUUUUUCGGUGUAAAACACUCAAUUUCUCUCUCUCUCUCUGUCUCACCACACGGCACCCACCCACCCUUAUCACACCAGGAAACACCACCUCCACCAGUCAAAAUCCAUUUUGGGUUAAUGGUUUUCUUUACAAAGAAGUGAUUAGGGCCUAUCAUUUUGAGAGAUGAAGAGGAUAAGCCAGAGACAAGAGGGUGUCAAAGCGUGUGUUAUCUGUCUGUCGAGGAGGCAGGAACAAAGAAGUAAGGACAGAUCGGUGGUGGCAAUGGCAUCCGGUGAUGCGUGGUGGUGGUCGCGAUCACGGGCAGUGGCGCUGCCUGUGGUCGCAGUUCUUCUUCUCUCUC